UACAGAGGGUGCAAGCGUUGUUCGGAAUUAUUGGGCGUAAAGCGCGUGUAGGCGGCUUUGCAAGUCGGGUGUGAAAGCCCUCAGCUCAACUGAGGAAGUGCGCCCGAAACUGCAGAGCUUGAGUACCGGAGAGGGUGGCGGAAUUCCCCAAGUAGAGGUGAAAUUCGUAGAUAUGGGGAGGAACACCGGUGGCGAAGGCGGCCACCUGGACGGUCACUGACGC
rnacentral:rRNA from 1 species